AAAGGGAUAAUUAUUAAAUACGGCAUGUCUUUAGUGUAUAUAUAUAACAGUAUAUUUUUUCUCUUUUUAUAAAACUGACAGCGAGAAAAGGAAGAAAAGUCCAUGUUAAUUCAUCAUAUAUUCUAAUACACUUCAGCUGCAGAUUAAAGGAACCAUGCCAGUUGCUGCUACCGCAGACAGAGAACGGAGAAAUCCUCUACGAGCCCCAUGGGUUUACAGAAGUCUAUCCAUCACUCUGUCAGUCUUCCGGAUCAUUAUUCAAGUUGCUAUCCCCAAUUUUGCUGGAUAUAUCAGAUCAACUCCAGCUCCAUAGCAGAACUUUUCAUCUUUUUUGUUCACAGUCCCGUUCCCAGGAUCUAGAACAGCACCUGAUACCAGAUAACUGUUGGUUGAAUGGAUGAUUAAAUUAUAAAAUGCAAGUCAAGGAACAGAGCAACAGGAGUUUGGAGUGGAGCCGGAUCACACACAUCUUCUGAUCACUAUAUAAAUAUUUUCCCAGAUGAUCCUAACAAAUAAGGCUACAAGAUGGAUAGUGUGCUUUCUUCCUAUAUUUAAAGACAGCAAAGUGGAAAGCUGAUGAAUAUUAUAAGGACACACUGAAUAGUGCAUCGUUACUAUGGCAAUAAAAAAGAGAACCAAUGUCCACAUAUCUUUUGGUAAAAUUCCAUCUCUCUGGGUAAAAUUUUACAGUUCUCUGCAUUAGAUGUAAGCAAAUAUUCUUCAUGUAACAUUUUAAAUUAAA